AUUGAACGCUGGCGGCACGCCUAACACAUGCAAGUCGAACGCGUGGCGCACGUGUGAGUAAUGUCUGGGACACUGCCUGAUGGAGGGGGAUAACUACUGGACGCUGUCGCUAAUACCGCAUACCAUCGGAUGUGCCCAUAUGGGAUUAGCUAGUAGGUGGGGUAAAGGCUCACCUAGGCGACGCUCCCUAGCUGGUCUGAGAGGAUGACCAGCAAAACUGGAACUGAGACACGGUCCAGAUUCCUACGGGAGGCAGCAGUGGGGAAUAUUGCACAAUGGGCGCAAGCCUGAUGCAGCCAUGCCGCGUGUAUGAAGAAGGCCUUCGGGUUGUAAAGUACUUUCAGCGGGGAGGCGUUACCCGCAGAAGAAGCACCGGCUAACUCCGUGCCAGCAGCCGCGGUAAUAC
rnacentral:rRNA from 1 species